UACGGGGGGGGCAAGCGUUGUUCGGAAUUCCUGGGCGUAAAGGGCUCGUAGGCGGCCAACUAAGUCGGACGUGAAAUCCCUCGGCUUAACCGGGGAACUGCGUCCGAUACUGGAUGGCUUGAGUUCGGGAGAGGGAUGCGGAAUUCCAGGUGUAGCGGUGAAAUGCGUAGAUAUCUGGAGGAACACCGGUGGCGAAGGCGGCAUCCUGGACCGACACUGACGCUGAGGAGCGAAAGCCAGGGGAGCAAACGGG
rnacentral:rRNA from 1 species